GGGGCAGUAGCUCAGUGGUAGAGCUCCCCUUCGUACGCGGGGAGACCUGGGUUCGAUUCCCGGCUGCUUUC
rnacentral:tRNA from 1 species